rnacentral:rRNA from 1 species
AAACGCUGGCGGCGUGUCUUAAGCAUGCAAGUCGAGCGGCAGGCGCAGCAAUGCGCUGAGAGCGGCGGACUGGUGAGUAACGCGUGGGUAAUCUACCUUUGGCAUGGGGAUAGCCAUUAGAAAUAGUGGGUAAUACCGAAUACGUUCCCUGGGGGGAGGUUUCAGGGAAGAAAGGGUGCUACGGCACCGGCCAAAGAUGAGCUCGCGUCCCAUUAGCUAGUUGGUGAGGUAACGGCCCACCAAGGCGAUGAUGGGUAGCCGGCCUGAGAGGGUGUACGGCCACACUGGGACUGAGAUACGGCCCAGACUCCUACGGGAGGCAGCAGCUAAGAAUAUUCCGCAAUGGACGAAAGUCUGACGGAGCGACGCCGCGUGGAUGAUGAAGGCCGAAAGGUUGUAAAGUCCUUUUGCUGGGGAAGAAUAAGUGUGGGAGGGAAUGCCCGCAUGAUGACAUGAACCGGCGAAUAAGCCCCGGCCAACUACGUGCCAGCAGCCGCGGUAACACGUAGGGGGCGAGCGUUGUUCGGAAUUACUGGGCGUAAAGGGCAUGUAGGCGGUCUGGUAAGCCUGGCGUGAAAGGCCACAGCUCAACUGUGGGAUUGCGUUGGGAACUGCUGGGCUUGAGUUAUGGAGAGGGAGCUAGAAUUCCUGGUGUAGGGGUGAAGUCUGUAGAUAU